AGCAGCCGCGGUAAUUCCAGCUCCAAUAGCGUAUAUUAAAGUUGUUGCAGUUAAAAAGCUCGUAGUUGAAUUUCGGGAUCAAUGCGUCGGUCGUGCUUUCGGGUACGUACUGGUGUCAUUGGUUUCUCCUUUCUGACGAGCCGUGAUGUCAUUAAUUUGGUGUUACGGGUAGUUAGGACUGUUACUUUGAAAAAAUUAGAGUGUUUAAAGCAGGCAUUAGCUUGAAUACAUUAGCAUGGAAUAAUGAAAUAGGACGUUCGAUCCUAUUUUGUUGGUUUCUAGGAUCAACGUAAUGAUUAAUAGGGAUAGUUGGGGGCAUUAGUAUUCAAUUGUCAGAGGUGAAAUUCUUGGAUUUAUUGAAGACUAACUACUGCGAAAGCAUUUUGCCAAGGAUGUUUUCAUUAAUCAAGAACGAAAGUUAGGGGAUCGAAGACGAUCAGAUACCGUCGUAGUCUUAACCAUAAACUAUGCCGACUAGGGAUCGGAUGAUGUUAAUUUUUUCAAUGACUCAUUCGGCGCC
rnacentral:rRNA from 1 species